UCUAAUUCACUGUCGGAAAACCAAGCCCCUAAUCCUGAUGGGAAUUCCGCUUCAGAGAAUGAGAGUGAUAUAUCAAUUGAUGCUCUAGCCAGACAGGUUCAAGAAUCACUUUCUCUUGCAAAAAGACAUAAAUUUUGGGAAACCCAACCUGUUGGUCAGUUCAAGGAUCUUGGUGAUUCGAGCUUGCCUGAAGGACCUAUUGAACCUCCAACACCACUGUCUGAAGUCAAACAAGAACCUUAUAAUCUUCCCAGUCUCUAUGAAUGGAUUACUUGUGACAUGGAAUCAACGGAUAUGUGCACUGAGGUUUAUAACCUCCUCACUAACAAUUAUGUGGAGGAUGAUGAUAACAUGUUCAGGUUUAAUUAUUCAAAGGAGUUUCUCCAUUGGGCUCUUCGGCCUCCAGGUUAUUACAAGAGCUGGCAUAUUGGAGUCCGAGUGAAAAGUUCAAAAAAGCUGGUUGCUUUUAUAACUGGGGUUCCUGCAAGAAUCCGGGUGCGAGAUAGUAUUGUCCAUAUGGCGGAGAUCAAUUUCCUGUGUGUUCAUAAGAAGCUUAGGUCGAAACGACUUGCUCCAGUCAUGAUUAAAGAGGUGACUAGGAGGGUUCACAUGGAAAAUAUUUGGCAAGCAGCUUAUACAGCUGGGGUGGUUCUCCCUACACCCAUAUCUACUUGUCAAUAUUGGCAUAGAUCAUUGAAUCCAAAGAAGCUUAUUGAUGUUGGGUUUUCCAGACUUGGGGCAAGAAUGACAAUGAGCCGCACAAUAAAGCUUUACAAGUUACCGGAUUUGACAGUUACUCCCGGUUUCAGGAAGAUGGAGCUCCAUGAUGUUCCUGCUGUUACCCGUUUGCUUAGGAAUUACUUAAAGCAGUUUGUUGUUGCACCUGACCUUGAUGAAAAUGAUGUAGAGCACUGGCUUCUUCCGAAGGAGGAUGUUGUGGACAGUUUUCUGGUUGAGAGCCCUGAUACUCAUGAGAUCACUGAUUUCUGCAGUUUUUACACACUUCCCUCAUCCAUUUUGGGCAAUCCAAAUUACUCGAUUUUGAAGGCUGCUUAUUCCUACUACAAUGUAUCUACUAAAACUCCUUUGCUUCAGCUGAUGAAUGACUGUCUUAUUGUGGCAAAACGGAAGGAUUAUGAUGUUUUCAAUGCAUUAGAUGUUAUGCAAAACGAAUCUUUUUUGAAGGAGCUGAAAUUUGGGCAAGGUGACGGAAAGCUCCACUAUUAUCUUUAUAACUACAGAGUAAAACAUGUCCUUAGACCAUCGGAACUUGGGCUUGUACUGUUGUAGUUUGAUCUUCAAAAUUUGAUCGUCUUGUGAAAGCAUUUCUGGUAUUCUGUGAUGAUUAUUCAGGCUUCAAAGAUGUAUCCGUUGCUCUGUCAUAGUAUCGGCAAUCUGUGAUUGGAUUUUUGUUUAAUUUCUGUGACGCUGUGGAAGACAAAUUUUGCCACCAUGAACUUAUCUUUAUUUUUAUUAGUUUGAUGGGCAUUGGCCAUUGUUGAGUUUGUGUAUCUGGAUUUUUUGGUUUCAUUUGCAUGUGCUGUACUUGAUUCAGCACAUGAUUGAUACUGAUAUCUCAAGAGAGUUAUUUAUAGGAUUUUAUUGAUUCUUUCUUCAUAGCAUCCAUCUGUAUUGGCAUCUAUCUUUAGCCAUUCGUUUAUACUUGCAAUUAGCUGGCAUGGAGAUAUUUUAAUGGAGCCUAGGCUAAUUUGUAAUCAUCGAUCGGUUUCUUCCAUGCAAUUUCAACUUUUGUUACUACUUGUGUAGGCAUAUUUUAACUUUUGGAUUGGAACAUCAAUUUCAAGGCAAUAUUUGUUUUAUUGUCCUUGGCAAUUUGAUACCUUUUAUUUAAUUUUUAUUUUAAAUUUCAUCUAGUCCUGUAUCCUAACCCACACACACCAGUCAGUCUUCCUUCAUAUUGGAAUGGGCAUGUAGAGAAGAAAAUAGUCAAAUACAUAGGGUUUGAAGGAAUAUGACAAUAAUUAAUGAGUUAAAGAAUCACUCCCAGGCAGGCUAGGGAUAGUUGAAAAAUGCGAGUGUUCCAAAUGAAAAUUUACAUUUUUGCCCACAACCAAGUACGCCAGCCACACAAGGAUAAUUCAAGUGUAACUAACUAUAUAUAACCCGAGUCGAGAAAGAUAUUGGUAUAACGGUAUAACCAAUCUAACACUGGUUCGAAAUCGACAUCCUUAAAACAAACUUCUUUGCUUGUUUAGAUAAGUAAGUUGGUCUGGUGUUCAGCUCAAAUAAGCCCGACUCUUUUUGCAUUAAAUUAGUUAUUUUUAUAAUAAUAAAUUUAAACGAGUCAGACAUAAAUUACAUUAAACUUGACUCGCUUAAGCUGGAACUUUUAUAAGAUAGAUGAGAGUUAAAAAGGAACGAGGCAAACCAUAUUCAAAUGCUAAGGACCUUUAAUGUAAAAAGCAUGGAAAGUCUCGGGGUAGUUGGAAUUGACAUAAAAUAUCAGGAGCAAAAUGUAAUUUACGUUAAUCUUGUAUCCCUCGCUUCUACACUCGUGACCAUAAUGUUUAAAACUUUAUAUUAGCAUACUCCAAGUACACUUAAAUAAAUAAAAGUGACUCAAAAAACUUUUCUAGCCAAAAAAUAUGCAUGCUAACUUGUAUCUUAACCUUAUAAAUCCAAAAAAAUAUUUAAGGUUUUAUAAAAAAAGACUAUUAAUAAUAAGGACAAAACAGUAAUAUACAAAUAUAAAUAAAAAUAAAAUUUACACAUACAAACCCAUGGUCUUUUUAAAACCACUCAAUUUUCCAAACAACCCAACUUUACUAUCUAUACAAAUACUCUCAAUCUCUCUUGGUAAGCUAAACUAAGCCCAACUAAAAAAAUAAUAAUAAAUAAAUAACAAUGGCUUUUAUUCUUCCAAAUACUUCUCCUACUAUGCACUCCAAUCCAAAGAAAAACUCAUUUAAUUCCAUAAAUUCCUACCAAAAUUCUCUCAUUUCUUCUCCAUCCGCAACAAAUCCCUCCUUUUCCAUCAUCCUCUCUCUUCUCACCAAGCUUGAACCCCCCAUAUCGAGUACUUCAGGUUAAUAAAGCCCCCCUGGCUAGAAGCACAAAAAUGAUGAUUUAUAUGCCAAUCUUGAUUUGGCUGUAUGAACCCUCCGUGAAGACCUACCUUUAAUCUUCACUAAAGAUCUUAAUUGUGAUAUUUACAUUUAUGAAUAAAUGAAUUUGGAGUUGGGGUUUCAUUUGUGUAAACGAAUUUGGGGUUUUUUGUUGAAUCAUUGGCAGGGAUGAUAUUACAUUUGUAGACUUUGUUAACAAAUUUAUUGGGUUUGAAUUUGGGGUUUCUUAAAAUCAGUCAUAACCUUAGAAUGAAGACAAUCCGUAAGAAUGGGACACCUUUUCUUCCUUUUUUUUUAUUUUUCUUUUGUUUUCUUAUUGCCUGCACCGCCACAAUCACAAACUCAACACUCGCGCCGCCACAAUUACAAACCCAACACCCACACCACUACAAUUCCAAUCCCCAAAUUCAUCUACACCCCCACCAUCCACCAUAAACCAUAAACAAAUAAAUAUUCCUCACCAACCCCUCAAAGCACCACAUACAUUUACAAAUUUAAACAAAAACACCACAAAAAAAUAUAAAUUAGGAGGAAAAAAGAGUUCUUUAAGAAAAAAGAUCGAUCUAAAAAAUAAAGAGACAUGGCUGCGCAAAUCGAAGAAAAUUUACUUAUUUAAGAUGGUGAUUCUGAUGUCAGUGAUGGCUUCACAACAACUUCCCUCUUAGGUUAAAUACAUUAAAAAUACAUGAAAUACAUGACUUAUUUAGUUUUAAUAUCAAAAUACACCGAAAAUACAAAUUAAAUUACAAAUACAGUGAAAUACAAGUAUUUUCGGUGAAACGUCAAACAUUCAAGCCGAAAAAGUUUUUGGGGUCAACUUUGUUUAUUGUGUAUUUGGAGCAAGGUUUUCAAACUCGGACCGGACCGCCAGUCGAACCGGAAAAAAUCGGACCCGGUUCACUCAACGGUCCGGUUUGGACCACUAAACCACUUCUGCUCAAAAACCGUUCAGAACUAGUGAACCGGUGGUUGAACCGGUUGACCCAGUGAACCAGUGACCGGUUCACGGGUUUGACCGGUUCUCUCCUUAAAGAUUAAAAAAAAAAAUAUUACGGAUUUUAUUUUAUUUUAGUGAUUUAGUUGAGACUUUGUUUAGUAUUUUACAUAUUUUUGCAUUCAUUUAAUCAAACACUUGAACUUGUGGUUGAAUUUCGGAAUUUGAAUGUAUCUUAGAGAUGUUUAGUUUUUUUUUUGUGUAGAUAAAUUGAUUAAUUUUACAUAUUUACUAAAUAUUAUAUACAAUAUAUAAUAAUAAUUAAUAUAAUUAAUUAUUUAUUAGUUAUUACAUAUUAAUGACGUCACUGGGUCAAUAACGGUCCGACCACUGGUGGGACCAGUGACCCAUCCACCCAGUAAUUUUUCCGGUUCGAUGUCCGGUCCGGGUUUUAAAAACCUUGAUUUGGAGUAUGCUAAUGUAAGAUUUUAAACAUUAGUAUCAUAAGUGCAAAAAGGGUUAUAUUUUGAGGAAAAUAAAUGUAUUUAACCUAAAUUAAUUAAUUAAUUAAUAUUGUUCUUUAGUCUGUUAUAGGUUAGGGCUUCACAUUUCACACAGAGAAACUCGGACAAGAAGAAGAAAAAAAACAAUUGCGGCAUCGAUGGGAUAAAACGGAUCGGCGGCGACAUCGUUCGAACGAGGCUUUCCGUUUGAGUUGUGAGUAAUUUAUUUCUAUUAUUAUUUUCUCUAUAGUCGUUCUUCAGCUUCAAAGUAACCUACCUAUUACCAGUUGAUUCACAUAGAUUUAAGCCAUAAUUGAGUUCAAGGAUUAUAGAAGAACACAUAUAAUCACACAUACAAGUAUAUAACUUUGUGAAUCGGUUUUUAUCCAUCUCAACUAGUCGUUAAACAGACUUGUACAAGAUCUUGGAUUUGUAACUCGUGGAAUUAUUGUCAUUUUUUGAUACUCUUGAGCUGUUUUUGAGGGAAUUUAACGUGCAAAAGAAUCCAAUUUUCCUUGUUUUGUUAAUAUGAAAAGGGAUGAAAAAGAAAACAGAAGGAAGAAAAAGAGGGUAUUUGAAUUUGAACACUAUUCUUUUAUUUUAUCGUUGGAGCUCAGUGUGAGAAAGAAAUGCAAAUAUAAAAGAAUAUUAAUACUGACUGAAGGUAAUAAUCAAAUCAACUGUUCAUUUUUUUAUUAUUUUUUUAAUUUUAAUUAUAUUAUUAAAAGAGCUACAUAUGUUAUGAGAUCUGAAUAAGAAUGUAGAGUUGUGCUUGUGUUAAUUUAUAGUGCAUUUCUUUCUCCACUUAUGCAGAGUUGUGUUUGUGCUCAUAUGUAGUACAUUUCUUUUGCUUUUUUUCUUUUCAUUUUCUCCAUACCAUCUCAAUGAUCCAAAUUGAGUUUUAUUUUCUUUUAGUGCUAUAAUGGCCAAAUAAAUCAUAGUUUUGUUAUCUUACAGUCUACCGUAAUGGCUGACAAUGAUUCAACCUCUAAUUCACUGUUGGAAAACCAAACCCCUAAUCCUGAUGGGAAUUCCGCUUCAGAGAAUGAGAGUGAUAUAUCAAUUGAUUCUCUAGCAAGACAGGUUCAAGAAUCACUUUCUCUUGCAAAAAGACAUAAAUUUUGGGAAACCCAACCUGUUGGUCAGUUCAAGGAUCUCGGUGAUUCGAGCUUGCCUGAAGGACCUAUUGAACCUCCAACACCACUGUCUGAAGUCAAACAAGAACCUUAUAAUCUUCCCAGUCUCUAUGAAUGGAUUACUUGUGACAUGGAAUCAACGGAUAUGUGCACUGAGGUUUAUAACCUCCUCACUAACAAUUAUGUGGAGGAUGAUGAUAACAUGUUCAGGUUUAAUUAUUCAAAGGAGUUUCUCCAUUGGGCUCUUCGGCCUCCUGGUUAUUAUAAGAGCUGGCAUAUUGGGGUCCGAGUGAAAAGUUCAAAAAAGCUGG
rnacentral:lncRNA from 1 species